rnacentral:rRNA from 1 species
UACGAAGGGCACAAGCGUUACUCGGAAUCACUGGGCGUAAAGGGUGCGUAGGCGGUGUAGAAAGUUAGAUGUGAAAUCCUGGGGCUUAACCUCAGAACUGCAUUUAAAACUACUACACUGGAGUUUGGUAGAGAGAAGUGGAAUUUCUGGUGAAGGGGUAAAAUCCGUAGAUAUCAGAAGGAACACCGAAGGCGAAGGCAGCUUCUUGGGCCAAUACUGACGCUGAGGCACGAAAGCGUGGGGAGCAAAC